GGCAACGCGCUAGGGUCACUUUUGAGAUCAAGAAAGCUUUGUUCUUUUGCUGUUUAUAAUAAAACCUGUUGCUGCUCGCUCUUUUGGGUUCUGACUGCGUUUAUGAGCUGUAACACUUACCACAAAGGUGUGUAGGUUCACUCCUGAAGCCUGUGAGACCACGAAUCCACCGGGAGGAACGAACAACUCCAGAUGUGGUGCCUUAAGAGCUAUAACACUCACUGUGAAGGUCUGCAGCUUUGCUCCUGAGCUAGCUAGACCACGAACCCACCAGCAGGAAAAAACUCCGAACACAUUUGAGCAUCAGAAGGAACAAACUCUGGACACGCCGCCUUUAAGAACUGUGAUAUUCACUGCGACAGUCCGCGGCUUCAUUCUUGAAGUCAGACCAAGAACCCACCAAUUCCGGACAUAGGAAUACUAGCAGGGACUUUCUGGACAUUCGGCUCGGAGUUGGUUAGUUGUUCAGGAUGGUUCAAAGGUUUUGGCAGAGUUCAAAGACUGGGAAGCAAAGUUCAGCCAUGUUGGGCCUUUGGGCUCAUAGAUGAGCAAGGGUACCCCAAUAUGAGGGCUCAGCAAAUUCUGGAACUUAUCAGUUCUGAAGACCUUUAGAGGAGAAGGAGACAAGUAAAAGGUAUGUAGUCCUGGAGGGCGCUGCUUAAUGAACCAGAAGUCCUGCCUCUUAAGUACCUCACCAGCUCAAAUGUGUGCAUGUCACCUUGGCGUGAAUCG
rnacentral:lncRNA from 1 species